rnacentral:rRNA from 1 species
CCUACGGGGGGCAGCAGUGAGGAAUAUUGGUCGAUGGACGAGAGUCUGAACCAGCCAAGUAGCGUGAAGGAUGACUGCCCUAUGGGUUGUAAACUUCUUUUAUAUGGGAAUAAAAUGUUCCACGUGUGGGAUUUUGUAUGUACCAUAUGAAUAAGGAUCGGCUAACUCCGUGCCAGCAGCCGCGGUAAUACGGAGGAUCCGAGCGUUAUCCGGAUUUAUUGGGUUUAAAGGGAGCGUAGGUGGAUUGUUAAGUCAGUUGUGAAAGUUUGCGGCUCAACCGUAAAAUUGCAGUUGAAACUGGCAGUCUUGAGUACAGUAUAGGUGGGCGGAAUUCGUGGUGUAGCGGUGAAAUGCUUAGAUAUCACGAAGAACUCCGAUUGCGAAGGCAGUUCACUGGACUGCAACUGACACUGAGGCUCGAAAGUGUGGGUAUCAAACAGGAUUAGAUACCCGUGUAGUC